rnacentral:rRNA from 1 species
GGUGGAAUAUUGGACAAUGGGCGGAAGCCUGAUCCAGCAACGCCGCGUGAGGGAUGACGGCCUUCGGGUUGUAAACCUCUUUCAGUACCGACGAAGCGCCCGUUGUGGGUGGUGACGGUAGGUACAGAAGAAGCACCGGCCAACUACGUGCCAGCAGCCGCGGUAAUACGUAGGGUGCGAGCGUUGUCCGGAAUUAUUGGGCGUAAAGGGCUCGUAGGCGGUUUGUCGCGUCGGGAGUGAAAACACCGGG